UACGUAGGGUGCGAGCGUUUAAUCGGAAUUACUGGGCGUAAAGCGUGCGCAGGCGGUUCGUUAUGUCGGAUGUGAAAGCCCUUGGCUUAACCGAGGAAGUGCAUCCGAAACUGGCGAGCUAGAGUACGAAAGAGGAUCGCGGAAUUCCCGGUGUAGAGGUGAAAUUCGUAGAUAUCGGGAGGAACACCGGUGGCGAAGGCGGCGAUCUGGGUCGAUACUGACGCUGAGGUGCGAAAGCGUGGGGAGCAAACAGG
rnacentral:rRNA from 1 species